CAAGUAUCCCGGCGAAAUCUUGGCACGCUUCACGUAGUACGAGAUGAAAGAGAACGACGAGAGCUUCAUUCAUGAGAUAUCGCCCGAGUGUCUGCCGAUGUUAACGACUGAUCGUCGUAUAUCCGCACGGCAAUUAGAGAUUCUGCUGUAAGCAGAUUGAACCUAGCAUAUCUCGAUCGAGCCAAUCGAGACAGUCGGGACGGCCAAUCAGCGUCGCGGAAAAGAGGCUUCAAGUUUCGAUACAUUCGAGAUUUUCGGUAACACGCACUUUUUCUGAUAGGAUAUGAGCGUCAUAUAAAGUAUUCAUAAGGUAUGCAAAUAGGUCUUUACAAAUUGAUUGAUAAAGUUGCUAAAUUUACAUACACUUAUCUACUUUCCAGUCUAUCCAGAUAGACUUUCAUGAUGAAGACGUGAGAUAAUCGGUGUGAUAGAAACUUUACAAUCUUUUUAAUUACAUUUAUAAAAAAAAUAUAGUGUACUAAAUUAAUCAUUAAAUUCCUACAUACAUUGUAUAUCAUACAAUAAAAUAAACUGUUUAUUAUAUUGAUACAACUAUAUAAAUUUACUAAAGGUUUUACACUCAAGUCUUUGUAUUAUAUUUUGAAUGAUAUAUUAUUUGAAACAAAUUAUGGUAACAUUUUUAUAUUUCUUUCUCAUAUUUUUACUUCAUCAAUCUAUGUGAUAAAUAUGAGCAUUACGUGAAGCAAUCAUACGGUAUACAGCUUUUACAAAUCUACUAGUAAAGUUGCUGCCAAAACAUACACCUGUUUGUCUCGGCACAUACGCAUCAUUCGUUAAAAUCCCGAAACAAUUCACGAUAUUGAGUGACACUAAAUCACGCGAUUACCCUUUCGUCCCGUUGAUAACUCGCCAAAGAGAUCUAAAAUCUGCUAAGGAAGUCACGUCUGAAAUUCCGCACAAACAAAUAUAAACGUUGCAUGUCGCGCGAGAAUUUAUGAUCCCCGACAUUUUCUUUUUCGUGAACAUUUCGCGUUCUAUAGUUCGCAGUCAAGAGUACACACGGCGACAAGCAAACUGCGGGUACAUUCUAAAGGAGCCAGAAAUCAUCAUACAUAUAUCGUCUACCUGUUUGCUCCUGUUCCAGAAUGACUGAAUCGCUAAUUGGCAGGUGGAGAAGGAUCCGUAGGUCUUGUUAGAUCCUUGCGACUGCAAGGACGAGACGGAUGCAUUUUGCCCGUUGGUAUUUAACAGAUUCGAUCUUUCGUUUAUAUAUUCCAUGGAACUUAAUCGAUGUUCGACUGCACGCUUCAAUCUGCCGCAAGCGUUAAUUGCUCGGAUGAUUAGCCGAAGAGAGCACGUGGAGCGUUCAUUCGUUUGAUCCUUCCGUCCCGCGAUGAGAAGCAUCAAUCGCGAAAUACGCGAGCUGUGCGUUUAAUCCGCUUGCUUUGCAAAAAUUAUGAAAAAUUAUGAAAAAUUAUCAUGACCGACAUUCCGCGACCAGCACGUAUCCUGCGCCUGCACUUCUCGCGCUUUCCCUUAUCCUGUACAGCUCCUCUCCUCACAGGGCACCUGUCUGUGUCAUCUCGAGCACGGGGAAGCACGAUGCGGCGGAGCACGGCGAAGCGGGCCCGAGUACACAUCAUCCUCGAUCGCGAAUACGCAGGAGGCGCGAACGCUUCUCGUGCGAAUCCGACUCGACGCACGAACGAUCGCGCGCGAAACGAUCAUCUCUUACUAUUGUAAUAACGUAAGAGCGACUCGCCACGAGCAUAAGUCUGCUCGAUCUUCACCUUGACUUCGUUUUUCGCCAGCGAGUCGAGGCAAUUCGAAUCAGGUAUGCGGCUGACGUCCAAGACUGCGGUCGGGCGUGCUGUCCGCGAUCAGUCGCGAUCGUCUCGGUCAAUUUCCAGGAUAUAUUGCCCGUCGCAUUCAUUGCUCGUCGCAAUGAAACGAAACGAGCACUUAUUCGCUUUUUCGAGAAUUGCCGUUCUCCGUAUGAUCCUGCCGGAGAAAAGGUCUCUCCUCUCGCAGGCGAGACUACAGACAGGAAACCGCGAUGUUCAGUAGGCAAAGAAUCCUUGCCAAACGUGUCACACUCUCACGAGAUCUCACAACAACGCACUUGUGCACCCUGUCCUGCGCGGGCGUUUAAAUGGGUGAGUUUGACCGCGGAACGGGUCGGGCAAGGAAUCCGCGAAAGCCUCCGGGGUGUCUCCACGAAGCGACGAGGAGAAGGACUCAUCUGGUUCUCGACGAUUACGUCGGUCUCACUGCUGAGAAAGCUCGUGAGGGUCGAGUGAAGCUCGUCGCAAGCUGAUACACCAUCGACGACGACGACGACGGAAAAUCACGGCGGACGGUGACGGACGAUACAGCAGAUCAUCGUCCGCGACGUCUGACUCACUGAUUAGCGAGCGCGUAGCCGCGAUUCACUCGCGUGACGAUACGCUCGGCGAAAGAUUCGACCGAUGAAUUUGACGUCAAUCGCGAAUCCGAGAGCCGGGUAAACUUCUACGCGAACUCUCGGCCGAAGCUACGUCAGUUCGAAACUGGGGGGCGAUAUUCCGCGGACGAUAAACCACUGUCGGAGAGGAGGGACAAGAAGGACGAUUCAAGACGUAUGCGGCCGAUUAUCAAUGCCUUGCGCGGUCGCUGCGAUUGAUAAGACGCGCAAGGAACGAGCGCGGGAGUGAGAUAUCCUAUCUCGAGAUAAGGAGCGAGAUGUAAACCCAGAAGAAAACGCCCAGAGGGCUACCUUCAGGCUAAAGUGCGAAAAACACAAUCCGAUAUCGACGGUUCUGCAGAGUCUCCAUUCUAUCUUCGACGGAGAAGAAAAUCGGAGAAGAAAACAGACAUUCAUGUAAGAUAAUAGUACCAAUGCCCGGACAUGUACCUAAUCCUGAACAUUCUUAUUGUUCUGGUCUUAAAAAAAAAUAUAUAUAUAUUUUUAAAUUUUCGAUAUGAAAUAUAUAUACAAAUAUUGAAUAUAUAUAUAUACAUUCUAUGUUAAAAGUUUGAAUAUUCGUAUUUAAAGACUAAAAUAAUAAGAAUGUCCAGAGUUAAAGGUACGUGUUUGGGUAUUGAUGCUUUUACCUUAUCUGAAAUUGUCAAGAUUGAUAUCAACAAAAAAUAAAGCACAUUGAAAAGGAAAGUAUCUAAGAAGUAAAGAAUAUUUAUUCGAUAAGUAUUAAUCCAAACUCUUUUAUUUAAAUAAAAUUAAAAAAAAUGUA